rnacentral:rRNA from 1 species
CUGGCGGCGCGCCUAACACAUGCAAGUCGAACGAGAAAGUGGGGAAACCCAUGAGUACAGUGGCGUACGGGUGAGUAACACGUGGAUGACCUACCUUCUGGUGAGGAAUAACCCUGGGAAACCGGGGCUAAUACCGCAUAAGCUCGAGAGAGGAAAGUCGCAAGACGCCGGAAGAGGAGUCCGCGGCCGAUUAGCUAGUUGGCAGGGUAAAAGCCUACCAAGGCAAAGAUCGGUAGCCGGCCUGAGAGGGCACACGGCCACACUGGCACUGAAACACGGGCCAGACUCCUACGGGAGGCAGCAGUGGGGAAUCUUGCACAAUGGGGGAAACCCUGAUGCAGCGACGCCGCGUGAGCGAUGAAGCCCUUCGGGGUGUAAAGCUCUUUCGGCAGGGACGAUAAUGACGGUACCUGCAGAAGCAGCUGCGGCUAACUACGUGCCAGCAGCCGCGGUAAUACGUAGGCAGCAAGCGUGGUUCGGAGUUACUGGGCGUAAAGGGUGUGUANGCGGUUGCUUAAGUUUGGUGUGAAAUCUCCCGGCUC